CCGCCUUAGGAAGCGGAACUUUGGGUGAGAGACGUGAACAGCAGAUUUUUCUGAUGUUUUCAGGUGUGAUGGAGAAGAGUCUGAUCUGGUUGAGGCUGCACAGUCCCUACGAGGGGAAUUUCUAACGAGAUGGACGUGAGCUGUAUUUGGUUGGACUCUUUCCAAACAUGUUAACAUUCUUUAUCCGUCCUAGUGAGUGCAAUGCGGUAUCUCACUGUAGUUUGAUGUGCAUUUCCCUGAUGGCUAAUGAUGUCAUUGUUUCCUCUUAUGCCUGGUAACGUAUUGAUGCUGAAUAUGGAGUAUGAAAGACCAUGG